UAAACCACAAUUUGGUCAAAUAUUAAUUUGCACAAGCUCAUGUGAUGAUGAGCUCAGUGUUUGCAGUCUGACAUCAGGAUGAGUCAGAGAGUAACAGGACUCUGGAAAUGCAGGUAGAAGCAGAUGAGUCAUAAUCUCAAAGACCAGCAGCAAAACAAAAACACCCUGUCCUAGCAUUUCCUGAUUAUUAUAUAAGAUAGAAAUACAUACAUGUUCACCGUAGUCAACCGGAUCCGGGCCGUAUCCAGGUGAGACCAAGGACCUGCACCUUGACACGACCACAACGCAGCCCUGACGGAUCAGCAGAGAUUGAGUCAACUAGAUCAUCCACUGUAAGGGCCUCAUCGACACGACAGCCACGACACAGUUCCUCAACAACCGUCCAUACCGGCGUAAUCCUCAAUAGGAUGGAACUGAAAUAAAUACUUUUAAUGUUGCGAUCCUAUUGGACUUAUGAUAGCAACCUGAAUUGUAACAAAGCACUGUUGGCCAGAGGAGAACUGGCACCCCGACUAAGCCUGGUUUCUCCCAAGGUUUUUUUCUCCAUUUUAACACCAAUUUGCCACUUGUCUGCCACCUAAUGUCACCUGAUGGAGUUUGGGUUCCUUGCCGCUGUCGCCUCUGGCUUGCUUAGUUGGGGACACUUGACUUGACAUUUGAUAUUCAACAGUGCUUUGAUCUGCCUGCAUUGACACUAUUCUUUAAGAGCUGCUGUGCAGCCAAACAAUGUACCAGUUAUCAAUGUAAAGCUGCUUUGACACAAUCUACAUUGUAAAAAGCGCUAUAUAAAUAAAGGUGACUUGACUUGA